rnacentral:rRNA from 1 species
AUUGAACGCUGGCGGCAUGCCUUACACAUGCAAGUCGAACGGCAGCAUGGAGAGCUUGCUCUCUGAUGGCGAGUGGCGAACGGGUGAGUAAUGCAUCGGAACGUACCGUGUAAUGGGGGAUAACGUAGCGAAAGUUACGCUAAUACCGCAUACGACCUGAGGGUGAAAGCAGGGGAUCGCAAGACCUUGCGUUAUACGAGCGGCCGAUGUCAGAUUAGCUAGUUGGGGAGGUAAAGGCUCACCAAGGCGACGAUCUGUAGCGGGUCUGAGAGGAUGAUCCGCCACACUGGGACUGAGACCCGUCCCAGACUCCUACGGGAGGCAGCAGUGGGGAAUUUUGGACAAUGGGGGCAACCCUGAUCCAGCCAUGCCGCGUGAGUGAAGAAGGCCUUCGGGUUGUAAAGCUCUUUCGGCCGGGAAGAAAUCGCACAGGCUAAUACUCUGUGUGGAUGACGGUACCGGCAUAAGAAGCACCGGCUAACUACGUGCCAGCAGCCGCCGUAA